rnacentral:rRNA from 1 species
UGGGGAAUAUUGCACAAUGGGCGAAAGCCUGAUGCAGCAACGCCGCGUGAGGGACGACGGCCUUCGGGUUGUAAACCUCUUUUAGCAAGGAAGAAGCGAAAGUGACGGUACUUGCAGAAAAAGCGCCGGCUAACUACGUGCCAGCAGCCGCGGUAAUACGUAGGGCGCAAGCGUUAUCCGGAAUUAUUGGGCGUAAAGAGCUCGUAGGCGGUUUGUCGCGUCUGCUGUGAAAACCCGAGGCUCAACCUCGGGCCUGCAGUGGGUACGGGCAGACUAGAGUGCGGUAGGGGAGAUUGGAACUCCUGGUGUAGCGGUGGAAUGCGCAGAUAUCAGGAAGAACACCGAUGGCGAAGGCAGAUCUCUGGGCCGUAACUGACGCUGAGGAGCGAAAGGGUGGGGAGCAAAACAGGCUUAGAUACCCUGGUAGUCCACCCCGUAAACGUUGGGAACUAGUUGUGGGUCCAUUCCACGGAUUCCGUGACGCAGCUAACGCAUUAAGUUCCCCGCCUGGGGAGUACGGCCGCAAGGCUAAAACUC